GAUGAACGCUGGCGGCGUGCCUAAUACAUGCAAGUCGAGCGAACGGACGAGAAGCUUGCUUCUCUGAUGUUAGCGGCGGACGGGUGAGUAACACGUGGAUAACCUACCUAUAAGACUGGGAUAACUUCGGGAAACCGGAGCUAAUACCGGAUAAUAUUUUGAACCGCAUGGUUCAAAAGUAAAAGACGGUCUUGCCGUCACUUAUAGAUGGAUCCGCGCUGCAUUAGCUAGUUGGUAAGGUAACGGCUUACCAAGGCAACGAUGCAUAGCCGACCUGAGAGGGUGAUCGGCCACACUGGAACUGAGACACGGUCCAGACUCCUACGGGAGGCAGCAGUAGGGAAUCUUCCGCAAUGGGCGAAAGCCUGACGGAGCAACGCCGCGUGAGUGAUGAAGGUCUUCGGAUCGUAAAACUCUGUUAUUAGGGAAGAACAUAUGUGUAAGUAACUGUGCACAUCUUGACGGUACCUAAUCAGAAAGCCACGGCUAACUACGUGCCAGCAGCCGCGGUAAUACGUAGGUGGCAAGCGUUAUCCGGAAUUAUUGGGCGUAAAGCGCGCGUAGGCGGUUUUUUAAGUCUGAUGUGAAAGCCCACGGCUCAACCGUGGAGGGUCAUUGGAAACUGGAAAACUUGAGUGCAGAAGAGGAAAGUGGAAUUCCAUGUGUAGCGGUGAAAUGCGCAGAGAUAUGGAGGAACACCAGUGGCGAAGGCGACUUUCUGGUCUGUAACUGACGCUGAUGUGCGAAAGCGUGGGGAUCAAACAGGAUUAGAUACCCUGGUAGUCCACGCCGUAAACGAUGAGUGCUAAGUGUUAGGGGGUUUCCGCCCCUUAGUGCUGCAGCUAACGCAUUAAGCACUCCGCCUGGGGAGUACGACCGCAAGGUUGAAACUCAAAGGAAUUGACGGGGACCCGCACAAGCGGUGGAGCAUGUGGUUUAAUUCGAAGCAACGCGAAGAACCUUACCAAAUCUUGACAUCCUUUGACAACUCUAGAGAUAGAGCCUUCCCCUUCGGGGGACAAAGUGACAGGUGGUGCAUGGUUGUCGUCAGCUCGUGUCGUGAGAUGUUGGGUUAAGUCCCGCAACGAGCGCAACCCUUAAGCUUAGUUGCCAUCAUUAAGUUGGGCACUCUAAGUUGACUGCCGGUGACAAACCGGAGGAAGGUGGGGAUGACGUCAAAUCAUCAUGCCCCUUAUGAUUUGGGCUACACACGUGCUACAAUGGACAAUACAAAGGGCAGCGAAACCGCGAGGUCAAGCAAAUCCCAUAAAGUUGUUCUCAGUUCGGAUUGUAGUCUGCAACUCGACUACAUGAAGCUGGAAUCGCUAGUAAUCGUAGAUCAGCAUGCUACGGUGAAUACGUUCCCGGGUCU
rnacentral:rRNA from 1 species